ACUAUUCUUAUGCCUAACAGCCCUUACAAGAAUUUUGGCAAAUGAAGUGGAAAUACCAUCAGUAAUAUCUGAAAGAGCAGAACUUGUGGAACCUUCGGGAGAAUCUCGUCCUUUGGGAAAAGAAGGUCCAAUGAAACGGAAAGAUAUGACUGGACAAACAACGAGCCCGCUAAUUCUGGCCUGACAAUCAACGCUACCAAACACAACUAUUUGAACGACCUCUGACGUAUUCAAGCAUCUUAUCAAUUAGAAAGUAAGGCACGGAAAUACCAAACGUUGCUGUGUGCAUGCGACAGAUAAAUAAAGUUUUUGUGAACUGCAUCAA
rnacentral:lncRNA from 1 species